rnacentral:rRNA from 1 species
AUUGAACGCUGGCGGCAGGCCUAACACAUGCAAGUCGAACGAGUGGCGGACGGGUGUGUAAUGUCUGGGAAACUGCCUGAUGGAGGGGGAUCACUACUGGAAACGGUAGCUACUACCGCCUAGCUGCAGCUGUGCCCAGAUGGGAUUAGCUUGUUGGUGGGGUAACGGAUCACCAAGGCGACGAUCCCUAGCUGGUCUGAGAGGAUGACCAGCCACACUGGAACUGAGACACGGUCCAGACUCCUACGGGAGGCAGCAGUGGGGAAUAUUGCACAAUGGGCGAAAGCCUGAUGCAGCCAUGCCGCGUGUAUGAAGAAGGCCUUCGGAUUGUAAAGUACUUUCAGCUGGGAGGCGUUACCCGCAGAAGAAGCACCGGCUAACUCCGUGCCAGCAGCCGCGGUAAUAC